AUCUGCUACCCUUGAGACCUCACUUCACCUCUUCUAAGAUUAUUUUUAAAAUGAACAGAUUGAUUUUUCACAAAAUGCCCCCAUAGAUAAUGGUUUCCUUAAACAAAUAGAAUGUUUAGAAAUCCUGUGCUGUUUUGGCAUCCCUGGUUACCUAUGUUUAAAGGAGAAUUUAGAAGGAAGGGAGUACAAUUCCAGGGCAGCAAGAGUGAGUAAAAAGGAAGUCAGUCAGGGAUGGAGAAAAAGCAAGUGCAAAGUGGGGCAUCAGGAAGCGGGCUACAGCUUCAUGAGAUCACACAGUGGGUUGCUUGGUUGGGCUGUAUGUAAUUAUGGUGCACAGAGUGGUCCACCAAGGAGUGAGGGGGAUGACUUAACGUGUGGGCUCCUUUGCACCUCCUGUCUCUCUUUGGUCCAAGUAGACCUCAAAGAGUGAUAACUCUCUAGCACUCUCAGGCAAAGACCCCUCCAGGCAGCCAAUGGGGAAGCCACAUCCUGAGGCACAGUGCUAUCUCUGCAUCUGGAAGUCGGGGGAGGUGCCAAAGACUCCACAGUCUGGUUGGACUGACUUGAGAAGCAGUUCUGCUACAGCUCUCACUGUGUGGGCGCAAUGGAGGCCAUGCCUGAGGUAGUCACUCCAUAGGAGAAGGUGUGCACCACCAGAGCUGUCCAUUCUGCAAGCAGCUCAGAAGCCAGUCAGGCAAAUCUGGGGAAGCUCAUGAAAAAGCUCACGAUUGUCCUUAUUGUUAUUCAGGCCCCUUUCUCAAAAUUCCAUUUAAAACACACUUUCUGAGGACCUAUUAUUAAUAUUUGCCAGUCUUUCUGCCAUAAGCACUAAGAUAAAGAAAACAGAGUCUCUGGCCUCCGAAUGAACUACAAUUUAUUGUAAUAAAUACUAAGACCCGGCUGGGCGCGCUGGCUCAUGCCUGUAACCCCAGCACUUUGGGAGGCCGAGGCGGACAGAUCACCUGAGGUUGGGAGUUUGAGACCAGCCUGACCAAUACGGAGAAACCCCCGUCUCUACUACAAAUACAAAAAAAGUAGCCGGGCAUGGUGACCCAUGCCUGUAAUCCCAACUACUCAGGAGGCUGAGGCAGGAGAAUUGCUUGAACCCAGGAGGCGGAGGUUGUGGUGAGCCGAGAUCGAGCCAUUG
rnacentral:lncRNA from 10 species